GGAAGGGGUGUAUUUAUUAGAUAAAAAACCAAUGCUCUUCGGGGCUCCUUGGUGAUUCAUAAUAACUUAACGAAUCGCAUGGCCUUGUGCCGGCGAUGGUUCAUUCAAAUUUCUGCCCUAUCAACUUUCGAUGGUAGGAUAGUGGCCUACCAUGGUUUCAACGGGUAACGGGGAAUUAGGGUUCGAUUCCGGAGAGGGAGCCUGAGAAACGGCUACCACAUCCAAGGAAGGCAGCAGGCGCGCAAAUUACCCAAUCCCGACACGGGGAGGUAGUGACAAUAAAUACUGAUACAGAGCUCUUUUGAGUCUUGUAAUUGGAAUGAGUACAAUUUAAAUCCCUUAACGAGGAACAAUUGGAGGGCAAGUCUGGUGCCAGCAGCCGCGGUAAUUCCAGCUCCAAUAGCGUAUAUUAAAGUUGUUGCAGUUAAAAAGCUCGUAGUUGAACCUUGGGUUUGGUUGGUCGGUCCGCCUCACCGCGUGCACUGAUCCGACCGAAUCUUUCCUUCUGGGGAACCGUAUGCCCUUCACUGGGUGUGCUGGGGAACCAGGACUUUUAC
rnacentral:rRNA from 1 species